rnacentral:lncRNA from 1 species
UUUAUCGGGCUGAGGGCAUAAAAAGAGAAGAAGUCAAAAUCUUCUUCAGGCAAGACCAGUUUCACAAAAUAAAAAAGGGGAGUGGGGAAGAGGAGGUGGGAACACUGAGUGGGUACAGAGAGGAAUGAGGAAGACCCUCUUCAGCCUGGGGAAAAUCACCUGGACUUAAUGUGUGUGUAAGACAAGCCAAGAACGCUAGACCCUUUGUUAUUUCCAAAGAGAUGAUCAGUCUAGCUCUGAUCUUGCUGACUCUUGAGUCUCCUGCCCUGGGAGGGUUUGAGGUCACCAGGCUGCCUUCUCUGGGUAUUUGCAGGACACAGUCACAGAGCAGAGACUAGAAUGGGAGGUGGCGAAAUCACUGCAAAUCCAAGUUCUGCCUCGGAAAUUAAGCUGUUUCGGG